rnacentral:rRNA from 1 species
UACAGAGGUCUCAAGCGUUGUUCGGAUUCAUUGGGCGUAAAGGGCGCGUAGGCGGCCUGCUAAGUCGAACGUGAAAUCCCCGAGCUCAACUCGGGAACUGCGUCCGAUACUGACAGGCUUGAAUCCGGGAGAGGAUGCGGAAUUCCAGGUGUAGCGGUGAAAUGCGUAGAUAUCUGGAGGAACACCGGUGGCGAAGGCGGCAUCCUGGACCGGCAUUGACGCGUGAGGCGACGAAAGCUAGGGGAGCAAACGGG